UCAAACGUAUAUUGGUUUCAAUCUCAAAUAAAUGGCAUUAAAAGUUAAUUGAUGGUGUCGAUUCGUUUCUUUUUGCCUGGUUGUGUUCUCUGAUUCAAGAAGAAAUAAAACACGCUACCUAUAUCUUUCAUUAAACUUCCAAUUUUCAGUUGCCCUAAUUUCAAGGUUCUGCGUUACCCGCGGCGUUUAUUUGGUUCUGCGUCAAUUUCAUCAACUAUUCUAUCUUCCAAAGCUUGCGUUGGGGCUUAGAGAAUACAGUUUAUCCGACAGAAGUGGGACAUUUUCUACAAAGAUCAUAUUCACAAAAUCAAUGUCUCGGUUCAGGCAAUCGCUGGUGAACAGGAUGCAAUAUGUCCCUCUGAAGCCGUGACAUGACGGAGAAGCCUAUGUUAUAUGAUGCUUGGGAUGUUGCAAACAAGAUUGGAAUAAUCUAAGGUAAAAUGUCAUUUCAUUUUAAAGUGGAAAUGUAUGCUCAAUCAUUUUUGCAGUUCUGUUAGUUAUGUUUGUUUUUUGACUAAGAGUAGUUAAUUUGGAUUCAACUUUGCUAAUGGCUGUUAGUUUUGUUUGUUUUUUUUAAGAGUAGUCAAUAUGGAUUCAACUUUGCUAAUGGAGCUACUUUACCUGCUUCAGUCAUGUUUGUUAUUUUGAGAUUUUUUUUAUCAUACAUUCUAUUUAAAUGAUUGCAUUUUUGAUCUUGAAGCAUUAAACGUGUUGCCGAUCUGGAGGCACCAUUUGAUACACCGGUAGGGGUGUAAACGAGUCGAGCCGAGUCCGAGCCUUCCACUACUCGAGCUCGGCUCGUCAUGCUUUUAUGAAGCUCGGCUUGGUUCGAAUCUAUUUAUUUGAGCUUGAGCUCGGCUUGUGAGUAAGAGCCAAAUCUUGAGCUCGGCUCGAGCUUGCUUCGAUUUCGCCUAAACGACCCAAAGCUCGGCUCGAACUCGGCUCGCCAAUGUUAUUACUUUGCCAUUUUUUGUGAUUUGUAGUGGUUCUUGGAGGGUUAUUUUCUUUUUUCUUUUAAUAAGUAAUUAAGGAGUCGCACAUGUCACAUGAAACAAGUUUAAAGCCUGUAUCUGGUACUCUGGUAGAUGACAUUUCUGCUUCAAAGUAUUGGUCUUAAGUGUGAACAUCUACCUGGAUCUUUUGCAUAUGCAUCUUCAAAAUCAUCCUUCAAUACCAUGACAAAGGAAUUUUACACUUUACACUAAAUGGCAAUGUGUUGGGGGGCUAUUCAAUUGACAAAACCGAUGUCACCUGACCUACUUUAAAAUGACAAAGGAUUUUAUGGCCUUACUAGCUUACAAGGAACUAGAACAAUCACCGGUGUUUCAUCUACUUAGUUUGGAGUAUCCGCAACAUGUCGUUGAACAGAGUGUAGAUCCAUAAAUUGUUCAACAUUGAACUGCAGAUGAUUUAAAGAAUAAAAAUUUGGCUGCCCUCAAUCACAUUAAUAGACUAACCAUUUUGUUUCAUUAAUUAAAAAGAGGUUCUUCUGAGUUGCAUUUGCCCAGCUAACAUUUGUUGCAUAAAGAUUUCCUUUCAUAGCUCACCUGCCAUUAAAGGGGAAGUGAAGAUUUGGGUUUGUGACCAUAUGUCUCAAGUUCGAAUCCGAUCCCAACCGGGUUUUACUGCAGUGGGUCUUCUGGCGGCGGGUUUUUCCCGAAACCAGGGAUGGUGGGCCUAGGUUACUCAGUGUUGUCUGCAUCGCAGGCAUAUGUGGUUGUCUUUUGCCAUUGGGUUACCUCGGGUAGUCGUGCCUUUAUUCGUUGGUCGUUAAAAAAGCACUUUCUUGUUGUAAAUUUUUAGUCUUUUGAAGCUUGAAUCUUAAUGUAAGCAACACGAGCUUUACGAGUACUUGUUGAUCAAGUUUACAAAGCAUUAUCAUUUAUUUUGUUU
rnacentral:lncRNA from 1 species